rnacentral:rRNA from 1 species
AUUGAACGCUGGCGGCAUGCCUUAACACAUGACAAGUCGAACGGUAACAGGGAGCUUGCUCCGCUGACGAGUGGCGAACGGGUGAGUAAUGUAUCGGAACGUACCAUUCAGUGGGGGAUAACGUAGCGAAAGUUACGCUAAUACCGCAUAUUCUGUGCGCAGGAAAGCAGGGGAUCGCAAGACCUUGCGACUGAUUGAGCGGCCGAUAUCAGAUUAGCUAGUUGGUGAGGUAAGAGCUCACCAAGGCGACGAUCUGUAGCGGGUCUGAGAGGAUGAUCGCCACACUGGAACUGAGACACGGUCCAGACUCCUACGGAGGCAGCAGUGGGGAAUUUUGGGCAAUGGGGGCAACCCUGAUCCAGCCAUGCCGCGUGAGUGAAGAAGGCCU